UAAAUGUAAAAAUGAGUUUACUUGCUUUCAACGGUUUAACCAAAACACUAUAAAAUUUAAUAUAAACGUACUAUAUCAACCAUAUGGUACUGAGAAGGACAUAGGCUACUUAUUAUCCUGGGCAAGUGAUGGUUUGAUGGACAAAGUAUGGUGAAUGUAUUUUGGAUUAUCAUCAUUAUAAGCAGUCCCAUGAUGCCAUGGGUAAAAAAGUUGACAGGGAGCGUCAGGAAGAUCGAAGCCCGCCAUGGUUACAAGAACCCUUUAUCAUUCCUGCUGCUAUCAUACUACUGGUAUUCCUGGCAGCGACGCUGGUAUACGCCACACCGCCGACAUUCGGGUCCAAAUCGGUGCAGCUGCCACUCUUAUAGUCUAUGGUAGGAUCCUGGUGUACUGGCUCUCGCUGUACAUUACUGUCCAGCUGUGUGGCACUGCGAGCUGUCAGUCCAACGUACUUCAAACUCAUUUCGACGUCCACAAACGGGCGCCUACCUUCCUCUCUGGCCACACCCUCACAGCGUAGAAUGAAACAUCGCUCGUGUAUCGUCAACGCUCGCUCCGCAUUACAAAA